GAUGAACGCUGGCGGCGUGCCUAAUACAUGCAAGUCGAGCGAACAGACGAGGAGCUUGCUCCUCUGACGUUAGCGGCGGACGGGUGAGUAACACGUGGAUAACCUACCUAUAAGACUGGGAUAACUUCGGGAAACCGGAGCUAAUACCGGAUAAUAUAUUGAACCGCAUGGUUCAAUAGUGAAAGACGGUUUUGCUGUCACUUAUAGAUGGAUCCGCGCCGCAUUAGCUAGUUGGUAAGGUAACGGCUUACCAAGGCAACGAUGCGUAGCCCACCUGAGAGGGGGGGUCGCCCCCACAGGAGCGGACCCCGCACCCAGGCGCUAAGGGGAGGCCGAGGUGGGGAACCUUCCCAAAGGGGGGAAAGCUUGACGGAGAAACGCCGGGUGAGUGAAGAAGGUCUGCGGACGGUAAAACGUUGUUAUUGGGGAAAAAAAAAUGUGUAAGUAACUAUGCCCGUCUGAAGGGUACCUAAACAGAAAGCCCGGGCAAACUACGG
rnacentral:rRNA from 1 species